UCAUUGUCUUGCUGCAAGACCCAGCUGCGCUUCAGCUUCAGCUCACGGACGGAUGGCCUGACAUUCUCCUGUAGAAUUCUCUGAUACAGAGCAGAAUUCAUGGUUCCUUCAAUGAUGGCAAGGCACCCAGGUCCUGAUGCAGCAAAGCAUCCCCAAACCAUGACACUACCACCACCACGAUUGACCGUUGGUAUGAGGUUCUUACUGUGGAAUGCAGUGUUUGGCUUUCACCAGACAUAACGGGGCCCAUGUCGGCCAAAAACGUCCACUUUUGACUCAUCUGUCCAUAGAACAUUGUUCCAGAACUCUUGAGGAUCAUCUAGGUGCUUUUUGGCAAACCUGAGAUGAGCAUUCAUGUUCUUCUUAGUGAGCAGUGGUUUCCGCCUUGCUACUCUGCCGUGAAUCCCAUUUUUGCCCAGUGUCUUUCUGACGGUGGAGUCAUGAACACUGACUUUAGCCAAGGUGAGAGAGGCCUGCAGAUCCCUGGAUGUUCUUCUAGGGUUCUUUGUGACUUCCUGGACGAUUUUACGCCUUGCUCUUGGAGAGAUUUUGGCAGGACGGCCACUCCUGGGAAGAUUCACUACUGUCCCAAACUUUCUCCUGUUGGAUAAUAUGGAUCUGACUGUGGUUCGGUGGAGCCCCAGAGCCUUAGAAAUGGCUUUGUAACCCUUUUCAGACUGAUAGGCAUCAACAAUCUUUUUCCGGAGGUCUUCAGGAAUUUCUUUUGUUCGUGGCAUGAUGUACCUCUAGAACCUGUGUGCUGACAACUUCACUCUGAUGGUAGGUUACGUCUAAGUUGGAGAACCCCAUAACCAUAGCUUUAUUUGAUGCUUGGAUGCAAGUCCAAUGUGAUACUGGAUUUGAGGUUGGUUGGUGCCAAAAAUGUUUUUGUUUUUUUUGUAAUAUGUUCUUAUUUAAUUGCUGUUUAAUUGUGUCCUUUAUUUUCAGGGCGCAAUAACAUUCACCAAAAUCCCAUUCACUAACAGCUAUCUAUUCAAGAGUAAGAGCGAAGACUACCUGGUGUCUCUGUUGAAAAUGGACAUUUUAUUGUCACACUUGUAAUUUUUACCAUAGUUGCCAGCAUAUAAAAGAAAUUACUUCUGAAUUCUGAAUUCUGAUGAGGACUUACCUGACAAUGUUGGGAAUCAUUGAUACGUUACAGGAGAAAUUGUCAUACAUUGAAAAAAAACACAUAUGGUUUCCAAACAGAACAUUGUAUUUGAAAUACCAGUUCACUUAAAGGACCCAAAUACGUGUUUUAUGACAAUUCUUGCAAGUUACAUUCCUACUGCCUCAACACGGAUCUAAACUUCUUAAAAAAUGCAUGGAAGAAUCAUAUUGCAUGUAAUGUGGGUUACAAUGGAGAUAUCUACCCACAACUGCAUGGCAAGAAUACCCAGGUUGCAGAACAAUAUAAUGCAAGGAUCAAAAGACUGAAGCACCACCUGCCAUAUAUGACCAAAACUAAUUUCAUGAAAAAACCUUAAAUUGUACCUUUGGUAUUACUCAAGAUAAUAUGUAAGGAAGAUGUGUAACUAAGUAAUGUUUGAAUGGACAGUCUCUUUGAAUGUUAUCUGAUUUGUAGUUUCAUCAUUUUACCAGUAACCAAUGCAGUUCAGUAAGUGAAGGCAUUUGGAGGGACACAGGAUUUUUUUUUAAAUAAAAAAAUAAAAUCAUACUUUUUUCUGCCCUGAGCUACAUUCCAAGCCUCCAGAUGUUAAAGUCAUUAGAGCACUGGAUUAUAACCCUGCAGCAGCAUUUGGGAUUGCUGCCAAGAAACCCCACUGAUUUUAAUGUGAGCCAACGCUAGAUUCUAUGACUUGUAUCUGAACCAUCUGAGUUCCAUCUAGAAUCACUUGUUGUUUUGACUUAUUUGUUUAUUUUUUGUUGAAUAAUAAAAUGUUGAUUUAUUGUUAUUAUUGGAUGUAGUGGUCCAGUGGUUAAAGAAAAGGGCUUGUAACCAGGA